rnacentral:rRNA from 1 species
UACGGGGGGGGCAAGCGUUGUUCGGAAUUACUGGGCGUAAAGGGUUAGUAGGUGGUCUGCUAAGUCAGACGUGAAAUCCCUCAGCUUAACUGGGGAACUGCGUCUGAUACUGGCAGACUUGAGGACAGGAGAGGAACGCGGAAUUCCAGGUGUAGCGGUGAAAUGCGUAGAUAUCUGGAGGAACACCGGUGGCGAAGGCGGCGUUCUGGACUGUUUCUGACACUGAACAACGAAAGCCAGGGGAGCAAACGGG